UGGGGAAUUUUGGACAAUGGGGGCAACCCUGAUCCAGCCAUGCCGCGUGUGUGAAGAAGGCCUUAGGGUUGUAAAGCUCUUUUACCCGGGAUGAUAAUGACAGUACCGGGAGAAUAAGCCCCGGCUAACUCCGUGCCAGCAGCCGCGGUAAUACGGAGGGGGCUAGCGUUGUUCGGAAUUACUGGGCGUAAAGCGCACGUAGGCGGCUUUGUAAGUUAGAGGUGAAAGCCCGGAGCUCAACUCCGGAAUUGCCUUUAAGACUGCAUCGCUUGAAUCAUGGAGAGGUGAGUGGAAUUCCGAGUGUAGAGGUGAAAUUCGUAGAUAUUCGGAAGAACACCAGUGGCGAAGGCGACUCACUGGACAUGUAUUGACGCUGAGGUGCGAAAGCGUGGGGAGCAAACA
rnacentral:rRNA from 1 species